AUUGCCUCAGUAACGGCGAGUGAAGCGGCAACAGCUCAAAUUUGAAAUCUGGCCUCUUGGGGUCCGAGUUGUAAUUUGUAGAGGAUGUUUCGGGUACCGCCUCGGUUUAAAUUUCUUGGAACAGAAUGUCAAAGAGGGUGAGAAUCCCGUCUUGGACCGGCGGUAGGGCCUAUGUGAAACUCCUUCGACGAGUCGAGUUGUUUGGGAAUGCAGCUCAAAAUGGGUGGUAAAUUUCAUCUAAAGCUAAAUAUUGGCCAGAGACCGAUAGCGCACAAGUAGAGUGAUCGAAAGAUGAAAAGCACUUUGAAAAGAGAGUUAAACAGUAUGUGAAAUUGUUGAAAGGGAAGCGCUUGCAACCAGACUUGAGCGCGGCGGUUCCCCCUUGCUUCUGCUUGGGUUACUCCGCCGUGUCCAGGCCAACAUCGGUUCUGGGGGUCGGUCAAAGGCUCUGGGAAUGUAUCUACCCACGGGUAGACUUAUAGACCAGGGUGUCAUGCGACCUCCCGGGACCGAGGAACGCGCUUCGGCUCGGAUGUUG
rnacentral:rRNA from 1 species